rnacentral:rRNA from 1 species
GCUGGCGGCGUGCCUAAUACAUGCAAGUCGAGCGAACAGAUAAGGAGCUUGCUCCUUUGACGUUAGCGGCGGACGGGUGAGUAACACGUGGAUAACCUACCUAUAAGACUGGGAUAACUUCGGGAAACCGGAGCUAAUACCGGAUAACAUAUUGAACCGCAUGGUUCAAUAUUGAAAGGCGGCUUUGCUGUCACUUAUAGAUGGAUCCGCGCCGUAUUAGCUAGUUGGUAAGGUAACGGCUUACCAAGGCAACGAUACGUAGCCGACCUGAGAGGGUGAUCGGCCACACUGGAACUGAGACACGGUCCAGACUCCUACGGGAGGCAGCAGUAGGGAAUCUUCCGCAAUGGGCGAAAGCCUGACGGAGCAACGCCGCGUGAGUGAUGAAGGUCUUCGGAUCGUAAAACUCUGUUAUCAGGGAAGAACAAAUGUGUAAGUAACUGUGCACAUCUUGACGGUACCUGAUCAGAAAGCCACGGCUAACUACGUGCCAGCAGCCGCGGUAAUACGUAGGUGGCAAGCGUUAUCCGGAAUUAUUGGGCGUAAAGCGCGCGUAGGCGGUUUUUUAAGUCUGAUGUGAAAGCCCACGGCUCAACCGUGGAGGGUCAUUGGAAACUGGAAAACUUGAGUGCAGAAGAGGAAAGUGGAAUUCCAUGUGUAGCGGUGAAAUGCGCAGAGAUAUGGAGGAACACCAGUGGCGAAGGCGACUUUCUGGUCUGUAACUGACGCUGAUGGUGCGAAAGCGUGGGGAUCAAACAGGAUUAGAUACCCUGGUAGUCCACGCCGUAAACGAUGAGUGCUAAGUGUUAGGGGGUU